UACGUAGGGUCCGAGCGUUGUCCGGAAUUAUUGGGCGUAAAGAGCUCGUAGGCGGUCUGUCGCGUCGGCUGUGAAAACUCAGGGCUCAACCCUGAGCCUGCAGUCGAUACGGGCAGACUAGAGUUCGGUAGGGGAGACUGAAAUUCCUGGUGUAGCGGUGAAAUGCGCAGAUAUCAGGAGGAACACCGGUGGCGAAGGCGGGUCUCUGGGCCGAAACUGACGCUGAGGAGCGAAAGCGUGGGGAGCGAACAGG
rnacentral:rRNA from 1 species